GUGCAGCAGGCGCGAAACCUUCACACUGCGCGCAAGCGCGAUGAGGGGACCUCGAGUGUCGGUGCCAAGCAUCGACUGUCCCGCUGCUUAAAAAGCAGUGGUAAGCAAGGGCCGGGUAAGACCGGUGCCAGCCGCCGCGGUAACACCGGCGGCUCGAGUGGUGACCGCUAUUAUUGAGCUUAAAGGGUCCGUAGCCGGUCUAGUAACUCUCUUGGGAAAUCUGGCGGCUUAACCGUCAGGCGUCCAAGAGAAACUGCUAGACUCGGGAGCGGGGGAGGUUGGAGGUACUCCAGGGGUAGGGGUGAAAUCCUGUAAUCCUGGGAGGACCACCAGUGGCGAAGGCGUCACGCUAGAACGGAUCCGACGGUCAGGGACGAAGCCCAGGGGCGCAAACGGGAUUAGAUACCCCUGUAGUCC
rnacentral:rRNA from 1 species